UACAGAGGGUGCGAGCGUUAAUCGGAAUUACUGGGCGUAAAGCGUGCGUAGACGGCUAUCUAAGUCAGACGUGAAAUCCCUCGGCUUAACCGGGGAACUGCGUCUGAUACUGGAUGGCUAGAGUGUGGGAGAGGGAUGCGGAAUUCCAGGUGUAGCGGUGAAAUGACGUAGAUAUCUGGAGGAACACCGGUGGCGAAGGCGGCAUCCUGGACCACGACUGACGCUGAGUGAGCGAAAGCCAGGGGAGCAAACGGG
rnacentral:rRNA from 1 species